rnacentral:rRNA from 1 species
GCCAUACCAUGGUGAAUAUACCGGUUCUCGUUAGAUCACCGAAGUCAAGCAUCAUUGGGCGCGGUCAGUACUUGGGUGGGUGACCACCUGGGAACACCGCGUGCCGUUG